UACACUCCUGCGGCAGGCAGCAGUGGGGAAUUUUGGACAAUGGGCGCAAGCCUGAUCCAGCCAUGCCGCGUGCGGGAAGAAGGCCUUCGGGUUGUAAACCGCUUUUGUCAGGGAAGAAAAGGUUCUGGCUAAUACCUGGGACUCAUGACGGUACCUGAAGAAUAAGCACCGGCUAACUACGUGCCAGCAGCCGCGGUAAUACGUAGGGUGCAAGCGUUAAUCGGAAUUACUGGGCGUAAAGCGUGCGCAGGCGGUUAUGCAAGACAGAGGUGAAAUCCCCGGGCUCAACCUGGGAACUGCCUUUGUGACUGCAUGGCUAGAGUACGGUAGAGGGGGAUGGAAUUCCGCGUGUAGCAGUGAAAUGCGUAGAUAUGCGGAGGAACACCGAUGGCGAAGGCAAUCCCCUGGACCUGUACUGACGCUCAUGCACGAAAGCGUGGGGAGCAAACAGGAUUAGAAACCCCUGUAGUCCCAUGAU
rnacentral:rRNA from 1 species